UGGGGAAUUUUGGACAAUGGGCGCAAGCCUGAUCCAGCCAUGCCGCGUGCAGGAUGAAGGCCUUCGGGUUGUAAACUGCUUUUGUUACGGAACGAAAAGACUCCUUCUAAUAAAGGGGUCCGAUGACGGUACCGUAAGAAUAAGCACCGGCUAACUACGUGCC
rnacentral:rRNA from 1 species